rnacentral:lncRNA from 1 species
UAUUGAACUUCAUUCUAAAUUUAGGCCAAAAUUAAUUAAAUCUUAAAUGCUAAAUAAAUCCUAAUAAAAUCUUAAACCUUAAAUCAAACUCUAAAUCCUAAACCAAAACUUAACCAAAUUCUAAACCAAAUUCUAAACAAAUCCUAAAUCAAAUCCUAAAUCCUAAAUCAAACCCUAACUAAACCUUAAAUCCUAAAGCAAAUCCUAAAUCUUAAAUCAAACUCUAAAUCCUAAACCAAAUCCUAAUCAAAUCCUAAAUCAAAUCCUAAACCUUAAAUAUAAUCUUAAUCAAAGUCUAAAUCCUAAAGCAAACUCUAACCAAAUCCUAAACCUUGAACCAAAUCCUAAACUCUAAAUCAAAUCCUAACCAAAUCCUAAAUCAAACCCUAAUAAAUUCCAUAACAAAUUUCAAUCUCAAUAACUAAUGAAUGAACAAUUAAUUUUAAUUCAAAAUUUUCACACUUCUCAAAAAUUAAGUUAAAAACAAGCACAAAAAAUUUGAAAACGAUCGAAAUUACUAAAUAGAUGAUAUCCUCAAGAAUGUACUUGGGUAUUGGUCGGCCUCCUUCUCCAUCCUUGAUGCUAAUCUUCCAGAGCCAAUAUCUCUCUUUUGUACCAUUUGAUUGAUUUCAAAAUUCUCAUACACUCAGAAAAAUAAGUCUUAUAUCCUCUCACAUAAAUUUUACUCCAAUCCAACUAGUAUAUUGUAAGAAAUAUUAUAAAUCCUCACUAGACCUAAAAUUCUACUUUCUAAGACCUUGAUCCACUUUCUAAGACCUUGACCCACUUAAACCUCAAUAAUCUUCAAUUCAACCAUU